rnacentral:rRNA from 1 species
ACACGGGGGGCGCAAGCGUUAUUCGGAAUUAUUGGGCGUAAAGGGCGUGUAGGCGGUUUUAUCGGUCAGAUGUGAAAGCCCAGGGCUCAACCCUGGACGUGCAUUUGAAACAGUAAGACUUGAGUACGGUAGAGGAAAGCGGAAUUCCUGGUGUAGAGGUGAAAUUCGUAGAUAUCAGGAGGAACACCGAUGGCGAAGGCAGCUUUCUGGACCGAAACUGACGCUGAUGCGCGAAGGCGUGGGUAGCGAACAGGAUUAGAUACCCUAGUAGUCC